GACGAACGCUGGCGGCGUGCCUAAUACAUGCAAGUCGAGCGGACCUCUUCGGAGGUCAGCGGCGGACGGGUGAGUAACACGUGGGCAACCUGCCUGUAAGACUGGGAUAACACCGGGAAACCGGUGCUAAUACCGGAUAAUCCUUUUCCUCACAUGAGGGGAAGCUGAAAGACGGUUUCGGCAGUCACUUACAGAUGGGCCCGCGGCGCAUUAGCUAGUUGGUGGGGUAACGGCCCACCAAGGUGACGAUUCGUAGCCGACCGGAGAGGGUGGUCGGCCACGCUGGGACUGAGAAACGACACAUACUCCUACGGGAGGCAGCAGUGGGGAAUCUGCCGAAAUGGACGAAAGUCGGACGGAGCAACGCCGCGUGAGCGAAGAAGGCCUGCGGGUCGUAAAGCUCUGUUGUCAGGGAAGAACACGUACCGGAGUAACUGCCGGUACCUUGACGGUACCUGACCAGAAAGCCACGGCUAACUACGUGCCAGCCGCCGCCGUAAAAC
rnacentral:rRNA from 1 species